GGGCGAUUAGCUCAGCGGUAGAGCGCCAUCCUCACACGAUGGAGGUCGGAGGUUCGACUCCUCCAUCGCCCA
rnacentral:tRNA from 1 species